GGCAAAAGCAAAACUGUUUCAAAAACAAACAAACAAAAAAACCGGCUGGGUGUGGUGAUACAUGCCUGUAGUCCCAGGUAAUCAGGAGACUGAGGCGGGAGGAUCACUUGAAUCCAGGAGUUGGACAUGGCAGUGAGCUGUGAUUGUGUCACUGCCCUCCAGCAGCCUGGGUGACAGAGAGAGACCCUGUCUCAAUAUAUUAGGUUGGCGCAAAAGUAAUUGCAGUUUUUGCCACUGAAAGUAAUGCCAUUGGAGGUAAUGGCAAAAACAGCAAUUACUUUUGCGCCAAUCUAAUAGAUAUGUAGAUAAUAUGAUCGAUGGUGAUCAGUGAUAACAGUGAAAAAGAAACAGAACAGGGAACAAGGGGCCGGGCUCAGUGGUUCACGCCUGUAAUCCCAGCACUUUGGGAGGCCGAGGUGGACGGAUCACUUGAGGCCAGGAGUUCGAGAACAGCCUGGCCAACAUGGUAAAACCCCACUUCUACUAAAAAUACAAAAAAAUUUAGCCAGGCAUGGUGGUGUGCGUCUGUGGUGCCAGCUACCCGGGAGGCUGAGGUGGGAGGAUCCCUUGAACACAGGAGGCAGAGGCUGCAGUGAGCUGAGAUCGCGCCAUUGCACGCCAGCCUGGGUGACAGAGUGAGACCCUGUCUCCAAAAAACAAACAAACAAAAACAAAAAAAGAAAAGAAAAAGGAACAAGGAAAAUAAGAUGGUAAAUGUGGUCUCCAAGGUCUUGUUUCAUCUUCCUAUGUCCAUUAUUUUUCCCAUUAUGCAAGUGAGGAGGAGGUUCAGAGAGGUGGAGUAACUCGUCCAGGGACUCACAGUGCGCAAGCUGAGACGUCAGUGUCCUGGAAGGACCCAUCCUGCAAUCGUUCUUGGCUGUGUUCCUACCCAGUGCCUAGGAUGGAGGUGAAGACAAAAAGAGCAUCAGGCUUUCUCUCAAGAGCUUGAGACCUGGCAAGCGGGCUGGGGAUGAGAGCCAACGUCUUCAUUUCAGAACAUCUCAGCCGCAUCAGGGGGAUCGUCACACUCUCUGCCAUGAAUAGGUGACGCGGGAUGAAGAGGAGAGUUUCCUAUCAAGGCUGCUGUGUUUUGUUUUUGUUUUGUAGAUAUGGGGUUUCACCAUGUUGCCCAGGCUGGUCUCUAACUCCUGGGCUCAAGGGAUCCACCCGCUUUGACCUCCCAAAUUGUUGGGAUUACAGGUAUGAGCCACAGUGCCUGCCUAAGGUUGCUUUCUGUGUGAAUCAAGGAGGCAUUCAAUAAAUAGUUGUGGGAUUAAUGAAUGUCAUUUCAAGGAGGGUUAAAAGCCAUGGACACCAUCUGUAAAGGGUAUUAUAAUUUGGUUAUCCAGGAAAACAGAAAAUUUCAGCAGUUAUUUGAGAUUUCCAGAAGG
rnacentral:lncRNA from 1 species